rnacentral:rRNA from 1 species
ACGGGAGGCAGCAGUGGGGAAUAUUGCGCAAUGGGGGAAACCCUGACGCAGCGACGCCGCGUGAGUGAUGAAGUAUUUCGGUAUGUAAAGCUCUUUAAGCAGGGAAGAUAAUGACGGUACCUGCAGAAUAAGCACCGGCUGAAUACGUGCCAGCAGCCGCGGUAAUACGUAUGGUGCAAGCGUUAUCCGGAUUUACUGGGUGUAAAGGGAGUGUAGGUGGUCUGGCAAGCCAGAAGUGAAAACCCGGGGCUCAACUCCGUGGAUUGCUUUUGGAACUGUUGGACUAGAGUGCAGGAGGGGUAAGCGGAAUUCCUAGUGUAGCGGUGAAAUGCGUAGAUAUUAGGAGGAACACCAGCGGCGAAGGCGGCUUACUGGACGAUAACUGACGUUGAGGCUCGAAAGCGUGGGGAGCAAACAGGAUUAGAUACCCUGGUA